rnacentral:lncRNA from 1 species
AAGAGCUUGCGGUGGCUGGGGCUGCGCUGGGGGUGCCGAAAGGUGGCCGUGUGGUGGCUGUGGAAGAGAAAAAGGCAGAAGUCACAGCUAGCCCCUGGGAACCGAAGAUGGUAGAAUGCCAGGCAUGCAUCAGAGGACCAGCUGAGUCCUUUGCAAACCUGAAAGACUUAAGUGAAGAUGGCUACUUGGUUCACAUUGGCUAAAAGAACCCUUAAAGUCUUCUGUCUUCAGGUCUAGCUUUUGCCUGCUUCGAGGAGUCUUCCUGUUCUGCUACUGGCAGGUUGGACCAGAGGCUCAGCAGCUCUCUGAAGCUCCAGUAACAGGCGCCACCUCCAGCAGCUGAGAAAGC